UCCAGGUUAUUCCAGAAGUGUUUUCUCCGCAGUGGGGCCGGGUUUUUCACAAAAUUGGCAUGACCAGAUUGUAUUUGUGUCCAUGGUUACAGCCAAUAGCUUUUAUUCAUUACCAGUUUCAACCAGUUUUUGCCAUGAAUCUCUGAAGGAGAAACACAUCUAUAUAUUAGAAGAUCAAAGACCUUUCUUCGCCGCAAGGCAUACCAGCAGGAGUACUAGUUUUUGCGGGGAAAUCCCGGAUUCGGCAACAGGAAGAACCCAGCAAAAGACACUGCUGAAAGCCCAAGUUUUUGCGCACCCGUUUGCAGCGCUGCUUGGCACAGUUACGGCACGUGUUUUAUACUAGCUUAGUAGGAGGAGAAGGAGCCAUGCUGCUGUAGAGCCAGUGGGGAGGUCGUUUAGGAUCUAGUAUAAAAAGGGCUCGAAAAUCAGCCAAUAUUAUCACAACUUUUUGAACAGUUGAACUCGUCUAGCCUUCCUUACAGCAAAAAAUGGCCAAAUCGCUUCUGAUGAUUUUGAUGGUGUCUUUGGUGCUGCUGGCAAUUGUCAGCGAGUUCGGUGGGCUCGUGAAUGGACAGUGCGAUUCAUCCCAAGGCAACUGUUGUCGUUGGCGUUGCGAUGGCGGAGGCUGUGGUUGCAGACCUUUCUUUUCUCUUAACUGCGGUGCACCAGACAGCUGUGGUGCAUAAUAACCCUAACCGAAAUAGUAGUUCAUCACUUGUUUUACAUGCAACCGAACUGGACCGAAUUUGUUAUCCGACCAAGAUUAUCCGAAACAAUUACAGAAUUUGAAUAACGGGGAAAAAAAUAAGAAAAUCCAAGUCUUUCCUAUCUAAAUCUUCUGGUUUCAAUUAACCCGAGCAAUAUUUGUAUAAUUGUGGAUGUAUUCAAAUAAUCCGCUUGAAUAUAUAUUCAACCUUCCAACUCUGAUAAUACACAUCAUACAAAUGCUCAGCA